AAGAAGGCUUUCGCAAGAAAUGAGGCUUUCACAAGAAGACCCUUGUCAAGUAUCUGAGAGAUUUCACUUCUAUAGCAAUUACAUCGUGAGAGCACUGGCCCUAUAAAGCCAAGAAGGAAUGAAAAGAGGCUAAGACAAAAAAUAAACUUCAGAUUUUGUAACAUGAUAGUCUGAAAGACAGGCCAACACAGGCAGCUCUUUGGAAACAAGAGACCUGGUACUUCCAACAGCCAAAAAGCUGGCCAAACAUCAGGAACAAGGGAAAGACACAUCAGGUCUGAGCAAGCAGGAAAUCAACUCUACAAACUUUGAAACUUGGUAAAUAUGAAAACAUUCUCAAUACCAUUUGUCAUUUAAUAAAUACAAAUUAUACUAUU
ensembl:lncRNA novel transcript